rnacentral:rRNA from 1 species
AGUGAACGCUGGCGGUAGGCCUAACACAUGCAAGUCGAACGGCAGCACAGUAAGAGCUUGCUCUUACGGGUGGCGAGUGGCGGACGGGUGAGGAAUACAUCGGAAUCUACUUUUUCGUGGGGGAUAACGUAGGGAAACUUACGCUAAUACCGCAUACGACCUACGGGUGAAAGCAGGGGAUCUUCGGACCUUGCGCGAUUGAAUGAGCCGAUGUCGGAUUAGCUAGUUGGCGGGGUAAAGGCCCACCAAGGCGACGAUCCGUAGCUGGUCUGAGAGGAUGAUCAGCCCAACUGGACUUGAGCCACGUCCCGGCCUCCUCCGGGGGGCGGCUGUGGGGAUUUUUGGACAAGGGCCGCACGCCUCAUCACCCCACCCCGCGGGGGUAAAGAGGGCUUUCGGUUUGAAAGCCCUUUUUGUGGGGAAAAAAAAGCACCAGGUUACGCCCCCGCUGUCCGGCCGGUCCCAAAAGAAUAAGCACCGGCUACCUUCGU